rnacentral:rRNA from 1 species
UACAGAGGGUGCAAGCGUUAAUCGGAGUUACUGGGCGUAAAGGGCGCGUAGGCUGAUAUUUUAGUCGAUUGUGAAAUCCCUGGGCUUAACCUAGGAAUUGCAGUCGAUACUGAGUAUCUUGAGUAUGGUAGAGGAAAGUGGAAUUCUCGGUGUAGUGGUUAAAUACGUAGAUAUCGAGAAGAACACCAGUGGCGAAGGCGACUUUCUGGACCAAUACUGACGCUGAGGCGCGAAAGCGUGGGGAGCAAACAGG